UAAAACAUAGCGUUAAUGCACCGGAUCCCAUUAGAACUAUGUAUUUAAGCGUGCUUAGACUAGAGUAGUACUAGGAUGGGUGACCGCUCAAGAAUUCCUAGUGUUUUAC
rfam:Picea glauca, whole genome shotgun sequence.